rnacentral:rRNA from 1 species
CAGCCGGAUAAUCGGGAGAAAUUCCGUCUAAUACGGCAUAAUGCAUCGACGGGACAUCCUGUUGGUGCCAAAGGUUGACUCCGGUGGCGGAUGGGCAUGCGUCGCAUUAGUUAGUUGGCGGUGUAACGGACCACCAAGACGACGAUGCGUAGGGGUUCUGAGAGGAAGGUCCCCCACACUGGUACUGAGACACGGACCAGACUCCUACGGGAGGCAGCAGUGAGGAAUAUUGGUCAAUGGGCGGGAGCCUGAACCAGCCAAGUCGCGUGAGGGAUGACGGCCCUAUGGGUUGUAAACCUCUUUUGCCGGGGAGCAAAGUGCCGCACGUGUGCGGUUUGGAGAGUACCCGGAGAAAAAGCACCGGCUAACUCCGUGCCAGCAGCCGCGGUAAUACGGAGGAUGCGAGCGUUAUCCGGAUUUAUUGGGUUUAAAGGGUGCGUAGGCAGACGCUUAAGUCAGCGGUAAAAUUGCGGGGCUCAACCUCGUCGAGCCGUUGAAACUGGGUGCCUUGAGUGGGCGAGAAGUACGCGGAAUGCGUGGUGUAGCGGUGAAAUGCAUAGAUAUCGCGCAGAACUCCGAUUGCGAAGGCAGCGUACCGGCGCCCAACUGACGCUGAAGCACGAAGGCGUGGGUAUCGAACAGGAUUAGAUACCCUGGUAGUCCACGCAGUAAACGAUGAAUGCUAGUUGUCCGGGGCGAUUGAGUUCUGGGUGACACAG